rnacentral:rRNA from 1 species
AUUGAACGCUGGCGGCAUGCCUAACACAUGCAAGUCGAGCGAGCGGCGGACGGGUGAGUAAUGUCUGGGUAACUGCCUGCUGGAGGGGGAUACCUACUGGAAACGGUAGCUAAUCCCGCAUCCCAUCAGAUGUGCCCAGAUGGGAUUAGCUAGUGGGUGGGGUAACGGCCCACCUAGGCGACGAUCCCUAGCUGGUCUGAGAGGAUGACCAGCAACACUGGAACUGAGACACGGCCCAGACUCCUACGGGAGGCAGCAGUGGGGAAUAUUGGACAAUGGGGGAAAGCCUGAUGCAGCCAUGCCGCGUGUGUGAAGAAGGCCUUCGGGUUGUAAAGCACUUUCAGCGGGGAGGCGUUACCCGCAGAAGAAGCACCGGCUAACUCCGUGCCAGCAGCCGCGGUAAUAC